rnacentral:tRNA from 1 species
UGCACAGUAGUUCAGCGGCAGAACAAUCGGCUGUUAACCGAUUUGUCGCAGGUUCGACCCCUGCCUGUGCAGCCA